GUAACUUUUAUGCAACAAUUUUCCCUUUUUCUCACCAUGUUUUAAAGGAAACUGGUUCAUUUUAACACUCAGUACUGAACAAAAACUAAGUAUAUUUUACCUAAAGUGCUCAAAAUAACCAUUCAAGUUUAAUGCAAGAUGAACUGUUUCCCAGAGAGACAAUAUUAUGGUGAUAUCUAAGUCAAUAAUUCUGAUUUUGUGUGUGUUUUUGGACUACUGUAUAUUGAAUUGGUUGGUCCAGGAGGACACAUCUGUGACGUCCACCGUCCUCCUGGACUAAAUCCCAGCUGGAUUAUCGUCACAGUCAAAGCUCUGAUCACAUCUGAUGUUGUGAAGAAUUGGAAACGACUCCUCUGUUCGGGCUGUGAUUUAUUUCCCCCUCUUCACUUCACCGUCGGUCAGUUUGUCCUCCGCGGGCAAAUAUAUUCUCAAUGCCACAGAUUAAGUCCUGUGACGCGUGUAUUUGCAUAUAAAUGGACUGUUUAGAACCCGGGUUCAGACGGACCCCGGUUGGGACGGUUGUUAUUUGUGAACCACCAACUGACACGAGGGAAGUGAAGAGGACUAACAGCCGUGUGUGGAAUACAAACUGUGGAUUUUGUGAAAGGAACAAAAAAAAGUCUAUUUUUAUUUUAUUAACCUUAAGUUUGAAAAAUAAUAUAUUUCACUUUUGGUGAAAAAUGUUAUUGUUUAGAAACCGAGGAUAAGAGGAAACCAUUCACAUGUAAAAUGUUUUAUUGUUAUUAUUAAUGUUGUGUAUUUUUAUAUAUGUAUGUAUAUAUAUUUAUAUACACACAUAUAUGUCUAAAUAUGUGUGUAUAUUUAUAUAUGUAUUUAUGUCUAGCCUUGUAAAGUCACAUUCAUCUGUUUGUUUGUUUUUUUUUUCUUUUCCAAAACUGUAAGAACAUUUGAACGUGACUCGUCCUCAGACGAGGUGAAGGAACCUGGUGUGAGUGACUUCCCUCAGGACUGAAUGAAUAUUAAACAUGUCAGAUCAUCAUCACUGUCUGACUGUCGGUGCUCACUGAGGGUCCCUCGGUCUGGAGUCUGUGGUUUUAAUGGGUGAACUAGUCCUUUAUUCUGAGCUGUUGGACUCGUUCAUCCAUAGAUGUGUUUUCACCAGGACCGUGUGAUGUGAUGAGCAGCAGAAUAUUCUGACCUGACCUGACUGGAGUUUGACAUCACUUUGACACCUCUGUUGUACGCCCGGUGCUAACGUGAAAAUGUGCAGCUGUAAUGAGGACGAGUUGAUGGGAGAGCGCGGCGGGUCAAUUAUCUCAGCUGGACCCGCUCUGAGCAGCAGGCAGUCGAGCUGAAGUGACAGUCGUCAGGACUCCGACGUCAACAUCCGUCAGUCCACCGAGGCAGAAGGGUGAGGAAGAGGAGGAGGAAGAGGAGGAGGAAGAGGAUGGGGGUAAGACUUUAUUGUCUUUCAUGAUGGUUUGACACCGUGUCGCUGCUAAUGGACCAGGAUGUUGUGAAUAAUGAAAUCAGCUCAGAGAUCCUACCAUGAAACAUUCAUAUGAGCA